CGGCGGACGGGUGAGUAACACGUGGAUAACCUACCUAUAAGACUGGGAUAACUUCGGGAAACCGGAGCUAAUACCGGAUAAUAUUUUGAACCGCAUGGUUCAAAAGUGAAAGACGGUCUUGCUGUCACUUAUAGAUGGAUCCGCGCUGCAUUAGCUAGUUGGUAAGGUAACGGCUUACCAAGGCAACGAUGCAUAGCCGACCUUAGAGGGUGAUCGGCCACACUGGAACUUAGACACGGUCCAG
rnacentral:rRNA from 1 species